rnacentral:rRNA from 1 species
UACGUAGGUAGCGAGCGUUGUCCGGAAUUACUGGGUGUAAAGGGAGCGUAGGCGGGAUGUUAAGUUGCAUGUGAAAUCUAUGGGCUCAACCCAUAAGCUGCGUGCAAAACUAGCAUUCUUGAGUGAAGUAGAGGCAAGCGGAAUUCCUAGUGUAGCGGUGAAAUGCGUAAAUAUUAGGAGGAACACCAGUGGCGAAGGCGGCUUGCUGGGCUUUAACUGACGCUGAGGCUCGAAAGCGUGGGUAGCAAACAGG